UUGGAGUUCUAGUUCAUUUACUUUGAGAAAUUAGAGUGUUUAAAGCAGCCUCUUGGGGCACUGAAUACAUUAGCAUGGGAUAAUAAAUAGGAUCUUCACAAUAUAUUUUAUUGGUUUAAAUUGCGUAUGAAGAUAAUGAUUAAUAGGGACAGUUGGGGGUAUUCAUAUUGGGUGGUUAGCGGUGAAAUGCUCGGAUCCAUUCGAAGAUGAACUAAAGCGAAAGCAUUUACCAAGGAUGUUUUCAUUAAUCAAGAACGAAAGUUAAGGGAUCGAAGACGAUUAGAUACCGUCGUAGUCUUAACUAUAAACUAUGCCGACCAGGGAUAUGAGUUGUUAGGGAUAUAUGAAAAUAUAUCCAAUUUCUUCUUAUGGACCUUGUGAGAAAUCAUAAGUUUUUUGGGUUCUGGGGGG
rnacentral:rRNA from 1 species